UGAGCAAUCUGCCCUUCUCAUCGGAAUAAGCGUUGGAAACGACGUCUGAUGCCGAAUACGACCUCCUUUCGCAUGAUCGGAGGUGGAAAGCUCCGGCGGAGAAGGAUGAGCUCGCGGCCUAUCAGCUAGUUGGUGUGGGUAAUGGCUCACCAAGGCUUCGACGGGUAGCCGGCCUGAGAGGGCGACCGGCCACACUGGGACUGAGAUACGGCCCAGACCUCUACGGGAGG
rnacentral:rRNA from 1 species